UCUUCUUCUUUAUCUCAUUUAUUCUCUUCUCCUCUGCUUGUGUGCCUGAUGAAAGCGAUUGAUGUUGUCGAGAUGAUCUUGUGAUGAGAAAGAACAAAUUAAGUACAAGGUGUUGCUACUGGUGACGAAGCGGUGAUUUACAAAGAGGAUGGUAAAAGAUUGAAGUAGUAAAUCACAGAGAAUCGAAUUAGGGUUUCUGUGAUUUAAUUGGAGAAUUCGAUUAAGGGUGAAUACUGAGGAGUUAGAAGAUGGGUUUGUUCUUAUUUGGUGUUUGAUGGAAGCUAUGAUGUUGUUUGAUGAUUGAAUCAGUGAGUUAGGGUUUCAUGGAAUUAAAUUCAGUAGAGAUGAAAUUGAUGUUUAAGAGGAAUGAUUGAAGACUGGGUUUAGUCGAUUGAGGAGCGUGGUGAAGUUAAUUAGAUGUUGGAGCUGUUCUGAGGAAGAAUUGAGGAAAUAGGGUUUAUGUGCUUCCCCAAUUUUUGAAUUAGGGUUUAGGAUUUGAACUGAUUUGGAGGUGAUAGUUUUGAGUAGAGUGUUGAACUGAGUCAAAGCAAAGAAGAAGUUGGUUCGGCCGCUGGAGUCAACUGUUGGGGUGAAACCAAAUUGAGGUAAUUGUUUUCUCAGCAAACUUAGUUAAGAAUUCAUUCAAGUUUAAUUAUUGAGUUUAUAAGUUGGUCUUUGAGCUACGAAUUGAGAUGGAUGAAUUAGUAUUGCAAGAGUUGUAAUUGUAUUGGUGGUUUUGAAUGAAUGGCUUUUGAAUAUUUCAGUUGGGAGUGAGGUAUAAUUAUAAAUGGUUGUUGCAGAUUAGGUUUGAGAUUGUAUUGCAGUUGAGUUUGAGAUAUAGUGUUGCUGUCAGUGAUUCUGUUGUGCAGCUGAGUUUAGUUGUGGUGGUGAUGAUGUUGAUGUUACAGGGGAGGAGAUGUGUUUUGGUGGUGGUUCUGUAGUUGUUAUUUUAAUUCUGAAUUGAAGUAUGGUCUUGUGGGUGUUGAUGAUUCUAGGAUGUUUAGAUGAUUAAUGAAUUGAGUUUAAGGAAGGUGCUGCUGCUGUUGUUGUUUGUUGUGGAUCAAUGAGAGAUUUCAAUAGAUGGAUAUGAGUAAAUGGAGUUAUGUUUCUUGGUUGUUGCAGUGAAGAACUAGUAAUGAUGAAGCUGAGAAUGGCAAGGCCAUGAAGUGAUAUUGAGUUAUAGAAUUGUGGUGUUGAGAACUAGACAUGAUUGUGUUGUUUGAAUUGAACUGAAGUUGAUGUGGGUGUGGGUAUGGAUUUGGGUGUGAUUGACUGGACUAGUGUCGUAGAAUGGUGACUAGGUGGAUUAGUAUUGUAGUAGAACGCAGAAAGAAUGAAGGCUUGGAACUGCAAUCGCAGUUAGUCUAUUAACAACGAUCGAUUCAAAGGAUGAACCAGUGGAUUCGCGGAUCUCGAGGUAGGCGUGGCUUAUCAACAAAAGAGUUUCAGAGACAGAUCAGAGUAGCGCAGCGACAGCUUCAAGAGUCGAGUUCGCUAGUUGUUUAACUUCUGUUAUGUUUAUUAUGUUGCAUAUUAUAUUUGUAAUCCAAAUGACUAUUGUAUAUGUAUCAUUUGAGAGAAGUUCUUGUGUAUAUAUAUUUCUGAGCGGGGCUAGUUUUGGGUUAAGUUUUUAUAGCAGUUUUCUUAAU